UGCAGUCCGAGCGGAGAUGAGGUGCUUGCACCUUAUCCUUAGCGGCGGACGGGUGAGUAAUGCUUAGGAAUCUGCCUAUUAGUGGGGGACAACAUUCCGAAAGGAAUGCUAAUACCGCAUACGUCCUACGGGAGAAAGCAGGGGAUCUUCGGACCUUGCGCUAAUAGAUGAGCCUAAGUCGGAUUAGCUAGUUGGUGGGGUAAAGGCCUACCAAGGCGACGAUCUGUAGCGGGUCUGAGAGGAUGAUCCGCCACACUGGGACUGAGACACGGCCCAGACUCCUACGGGAGGCAGCAGUGGGGAAUAUUGGACAAUGGGGGGAACCCUGAUCCAGCCAUGCCGCGUGUGUGAAGAAGGCCUUAUGGUUGUAAAGCACUUUAAGCGAGGAGGAGGCUACUGAGACUAAUACUCUUGGAUAGUGGACGUUACUCGCAGAAUAAGCACCGGCUAACUCUGUGCCAGCAGCCGCGGUAAUACAGAGGGUGCGAGCGUUAAUCGGAUUUACUGGGCGUAAAGCGUGCGUAGGCGGCUUUUUAAGUCGGAUGUGAAAUCCCCGAGCUUAACUUGGGAAUUGCAUUCGAUACUGGGAAGCUAGAGUAUGGGAGAGGAUGGUAGAAUUCCAGGUGCAGCGGUGAAAUGCGUAGAGAUCUGGAGGAAUACCGAUGGCGAAAGCAGCCAUCUGGCCUAAUACUGACGCUGAGGUACGAAGCAUGGGGAGCAAACAGGAUUAGAUACCCUGGUAGUCCAUGCCCGUAACGAUGUCUACUAGCCGUUGGGGCCUUUGAGCUUUAGUGGCGCACUAACGCGAUAAGUAGACCGCCUGGGGGAGUACGGUCGCA
rnacentral:rRNA from 1 species